ACCGUCACGUGCUCACACUGGUUCGUUCACUGGAACCAGCAUUCCCGGACUCAUGGAACGAGGGACUGUUAGGGGAGGCUGGGUGGGGAGCAUACGGGACUCUCUGGGCAUGUUCGGAAUGUUUCUGUAAAUCUAAACCUGAAAAGGAGUUCCCGUCGUGGCACAGCGGAAAGGAAUCUGACUAGUAUCCACAAGGAUGCGGGUUUGAUCCCCGGCCUCGCUCAGUGGGUUAAGGAUCUGGCGUUGCCGUGAGCUGUGGUGUCGGUCACAGACGCAGCUUGGAUCCCGAGCUCAGAUUCGACCCCUAGUUUGAGAACCUCCAUAUGCCGCAGGCGAGGCCCUAAAAAGACAGAGGACAAAAAAAGAAAGAAGUUGGAGGAAGAAGGAAUUUGCCCUUGUUUCCCUUUGCUGUUGAGCUUGGACACCUCACCAUCUCCUGCUCCCCUCACCGAGCGCCUGGGAGUCCACCCUUGGCUCCCCUGGUUCUCAGGCCCUUGGACUUGGACUGAAUUAUCCCACCAGCUUUCGUGACUCUACCUGGCAGACAGCUUGAUCGUGGGAAUUCGGUGCCUCUGCAAUUGAGUGAGCCGGCCCCUUAGAUCAAAUCUCCUUUUAUAGGGAGAUAUCACCCACUGGUUCUGUUUCUCUGGAGAACCCUGACCUUCUUUCAGUUCCUAGAAGAACUCCAGGUACCUCCCACCUGAGGCCUUUGUGUUGGCUGUUCCCCCUUCCUAGCAUGCUGUUCCCUCCACUUCCUCACCUGCUAGCUUACUCCCACCUAUUCUUCAGGGCUCAGCGUAAAUGUCCCUUCUUCGGAGAAGCCUCUUCUGACCUCUCAGACCAGGAUCCACAGCUCCCCCAGGAGGACUCCCAGCUGAUAGCAGUAAGGGAAAGGCUCAGAUUUCUCCCUCGUCGACGCCAUCCUUGGGACCAGACUUAGCACCCAAGGCGGCGCCCCAGCAGGGCUGCGGUUCUCAGCUCCUACCAAGUGCCAGGCUGUCCACAGGUGCUCCUUGCCACACACAGGGGCCACCAGCCCCAUUUCGCAGAAAUCCGAGGAUGAGGAGGGAAGGUGGUUUAUAUCUGGUUACAUCUAUAUUUUAACCCGCAGCUGGUCCCUCACAAGGACCCUGGCAUCACCCCAGGCAUCUCGCAAUGACUCUAAUGCAAAUCCCUGGGCGACACCCAGAGAGAACUCCCUCGGGCUGAAACAAUCUGCUCCGGAUGAUGACAGAUCAGGUUCUCAUCCUGUGGUCCCUGGGGGUCCCUGAGAAUUUCAAGGGCUCUGUGAGGACAAAACAAUUUUUAUAAUGACACAAAGAGGGAAUUCCCACUGCGGCUCUGCGGGUUAAGAACCCAAUCAGUUCCACGAGGAUGCCGGUUCAAUCCCUGGCCUCACUCAGUGAGUCAAGGAUCCAGUGUUGCCACAGCUGUGGCACAGGUCGCAGACGUGGCUCAGAUCCCGUGUUGCUGUGGCUGUGGUGCAGGCUGGCGGCUGCAGCUCCCAUUUGACCCCUAGCCUGGGAACCUCCAUAUGUCGCACGUGCAGCUGUAACAAGGGGGAAAAAAUAGUGCCAUGAAGAGGUCACUCCGUGACUCAGUCUACUGGGGUGACACGCUCGCGCAAACGUGACAUUGGAUACAGGUGCUCGGGCCUGAGCAAGAGGAGUGUAGCGCCAGCCGGCCCUGGAGGUCACUGUCCCCUGCAGCCAGGAGCGGGCUGGACAUGCCGGAUUCACCCCAAAACAUCCCCGGUGAGGCAGAAACGCUCAGCUUCAUUAAAUCCCAGCCCCUCCGCAUUCUGCUGGGCAUGCGGAGAGCACGUCUGUCUCCAGGAAGAGCUGGGCGGCUGGGCUGCGAGGGAGCCGGGGGCUCUCGCCCUGCAGCAUCCGUCCCUUUUCCCUGAAGGCUCGCCUGCCAACCUGGGGUUUUCUGAGGUGAGUAUCUGGCAGACACGUCCUUGAAAAUGAACCCAUUUGACCCCUAGCCUGGGAACCUCCAUAUGUCGCACGUGCAGCUGUAACAGGGGGAAAAAAUAGUGCCAUGAAGAGGUCACUCCGCGACUUAGUCUACUGGGGUGACACGC
ensembl:lncRNA